rnacentral:rRNA from 1 species
UUCGCAAUGCCCGAAAGGGUGACGAAGCGACGCCGUGUGUGGGAAGAAGGCCUUCGGGUUGUAAGCCACUGUCGGGAGUUAGGAAAUGUAAGGGUGUUAAUAGUAUCCUUACUUGACUAAGGCUCCGGAGGAAGCCACGGCUAACUCUGUGCCAGCAGCCGCGGUAAUACAGAGGCGGCAAGCGUUGUUCGGAAUUAUUGGGCGUAAAGAGCACGUAGGCGGCCUAGUAAGUCAGUUGUGAAAGCCUUCUGCUUAACGGAAGAACAGCAGCUGAUACUGCAAGGCUAGAGUGCGGAAGGGGAGAGUGGAACUUCUGGUGGAGCGGUGAAAUGCGUAGAUAUCAGAAGGAACACCGGCGGCGAAGGCGACUCUCUGGUCCGUAACUGACGCUGAGUGUGCGAAAGCUAGGGGAGCAAACGGGAUUAGAUACCCCGGUAGUCCUAGCCGUAAACGAUGGGCACUAAGUAGAGGGGUUUU